rnacentral:tRNA from 1 species
GCUCCUGUAGCUCAGCGGCAGAGCAUCCGGCUUAUAUCCGGCAGGUCCCAGGUUCGAAUCCUGGCAGGAGCA